rnacentral:tRNA from 1 species
GGCGACGAUGGUGGAGCGGGCCCGGGCGGGUCUGUCCUGCCCGCCGGAGGACCCGACGGCGCUGGCGGACCGGUUCUGGCUGGCCGCCGCCA